CCUACGGGUGGCAGCAGUGGGGAAUAUUGCUCAAUGGGGGAAACCCUGAAGCAGCAACGCCGCGUGGGGGAUGAAGGUUUUAGGAUUGUAAACUCCUUUUGUCAGGGAAGAUAAUGACGGUCUCUCACGAAUAACCCCCGGCUAACUCCGUGCCAGCAGCCGCGGUGAUACGGAGGGUGCCAGCGGUACUCGGAUUCACUGGGUGUAAAGGGUGCGCAGGCGGGCAUGUAAGUCAGAUGUGAAAUCCUGUAGCGUAACCACAGAAGUGCAUUUGAAACUAUGAGUCUAGAGUGUGGGAGAGGUAGGUGGAAUGCUUGGUGUAGGGGUAAAAUGCGUAGAUAUCAAGAGGAACAC
rnacentral:rRNA from 1 species